UACGAAGGGGGCUAGCGUUGUUCGGAUUUACUGGGCGUAAAGCGCACGUAGGCGGAUUGUUAAGUGAGGGGUGAAAUCCCAAGGGCUCAACCCUGGAACUGCCUUUCAUACUGGCAAUCUUGAGUCCGGAAGAGGUGAGUGGAACUCCUAGUGUAGAGGUGGAAUUCGUAGAGUAUUAGGAAGAACACCAGUGGCGAAGGCGGCUCACUGGUCCGGUACUGACGCUGAGGUGCGAAAGGCGUGGGGGAGCAAACAGG
rnacentral:rRNA from 1 species